GAUGAACGCUGGCGGCGUGCCUAAUACAUGCAAGUCGAGCGGACGGACGAGAAUCUUGCUUCUCUGAUGUUAGCGGCGGACGGGUGAGUAACACGAGGAUAACCUACCUAUAAGACUGGGAUAACUUCGGGAAACCGUAGCUAACACCGGAUAAGAUUUUGAACCGCAUGGUUCGAAAGUGAAAGACGGUCUUGCUGUCACUUAUAGAUGGUUACGCGCUUCUUUAGCUAGUUGGUAAGGUAACGGCCUACCAAGGCAAGUAUGCGUAGCCGACCUGAGAGGCGGAUAGGCCACACUGGAACGGAGACAGGGUCCAGACUCCUACGGGAGGCAGCAGUAGGGAAUGUUCCGCAAUGGGCGAAAACCUGACGGAGCAAGGCCGCGUGAGUGAUGAAGGUCUUCGGUUCGUAAAACUCUGUUAUUAGGGAAGAACAUAUGUGGAAGGAGCUGUGGACGGCUUGACGGUACCUAAUCAAAAAGCAACGGCUAACUACGUG
rnacentral:rRNA from 1 species